AGAGGAUUCACUGCAGGUGGUGUAGGGUGGAUAGCUUUGCUUGUGGAUCUCCAGGGGUUUUCCAGAGACAGGACGUCAUUCAGAAAGCACUGGCUGGACAGCAGCUGCCCUUUUGUCUACAGCACUGCAUUAGUCUGACUAUUAAAAUAAGGCAUGAAGACAUGAAGGCAGGAGCAGCUCUAUGGAAUGUGGGAAAGAGGCAGAACUGAGUCAUGCAAGGGGCACUGGAUCAGGCUGUCCCGUAACCAGCAGUCCCUCCUCACUCGAUAUCAACGUAACGCAAGAGGAAAAGUCUUCAGAGGACUUGCUCAUAGUCCUGAAACGAGCAAUAAACCCCCACAUGCCUCACUGCCCUGAUGCUGGCCUCUAGUUCUUCAGCAUCUCACGUGCCCUAAAAGCCACAAGGCAAAAUUGCUUCAGAGUCUGGGAGCUGGGGCACAUGACCUGGCUGGAAGAAGCCUGCUCGCUGCCCUGCGGUCUGGCCACCCCGGGGAGGGGACACGGUUCGCUUCACUCCACUUGGCUCGUAGCCUGGGACAACAGGGCUGCAGUUUGUGGGCUUCAUGGUACUUAACAUGGUUGUAACCAGCUGUACUGAUAUCUUCCGUAUUGCAGAGAUGUUGGCUUUCUGAAUCCAGAUGUCAAUCUAGCGUGUUGAUAGGGAGUCUGUGCGACUGAAUGUAUCGCUCUUCCGUGCUGUCACAACCAGUUUCUCUCCUUGUCACGCUCUGGUUCAGGCUCGCUGGACAAAGGGGCUCGUGCUGCAGGGACGUGCAGCUCUCUGUAACAAGGCAGGGUGCAAGGCACUGAAAAUCAGUGAACUUCAACAAAUGAGAAACCCUUUCCCAUUCCCUCCCUAGACACAACAGCACAAGGAGAGGUUUCAAGAACAUGUUUAAUGAUGGCAGUUUCCACUGAAACGUGAGAUGUCCAUUCAAACUUGUCUUACCAAUUUUUCUUAAAAAAAAAAAAAAAAAAGAAACUUUUG